rnacentral:rRNA from 1 species
UACGUAGGGGGCAAGCGUUGUCCGGAUUUAUUGGGCGUAAAGAGCGUGUAGGCGGCUAUACAGGUCCGUUGUGAAAACUCGAGGCUCAACCUCGAGACGCCGAUGGAAACCGUAUGGCUAGAGUCCGGAAGAGGAGAGCGGAAUUCCUGGUGUAGCGGUGAAAUGCGCAGAUAUCAGGAAGAACACCCGUGGCGAAGGCGGCUCUCUGGGACGGUACUGACGCUGAGACGCGAAAGCGUGGGGAGCGAACAAG